rnacentral:rRNA from 1 species
GACGAACGCUGGCGGCGUGCCUAAUACAUGCAAGUUGAGCGCUGAAGGUUGGUACUUGUACCAACUGGAUGAGCAGCGCACGGGUGAGUAACGCGUGGGGAAUCUGCCUUUGAGCGGGGGACCACAUUUGGAAACGAAUGCUAAUACCGCAUAAAAACUUUAAACACAAGUUUUAAGUUUGAAAGAUGCAAUUUCAUCACUCAAAGAUGAUCCCGCGUUGUAUUAGCUAGUUGGUGAGGUAAAGGCUCACCAAGGCGAUGAUACAUAGCCGACCUGAGAGGGUGAUCGGCCACAUUGGGACUGAGACACGGCCCAAACUCCUACGGGAGGCAGCAGUAGGGAAUCUUCGGCAAUGGACGAAAGUCUGACCGAGCAACGCCGCGUGAGUGAAGAAGGAUGUCGGAUCGUAAAACUCUGUUGGUAGGGAAGAACGUGGGUGAGAGUGGAAAGCUCAUCAAGUGACGGUAACUAGCCAGAAAGGGACGGCUAACUACGUG